CGCCAGGGGACUACGAGCAUAGCUUAAAACCCAAAGGACUUGGCGGUGUCUCAGACCCACCUAGAGGAGCCUGUUCUAGAACCGAUAAUCCCCGUUAAACCUCACCACUUCUUGUUAAUCCCGCCUAUAUACCGCCGUCGCCAGCUUACCCUAUGAAGGAAGAACAGUAAGCAAAAUGGACAAAACCCAAAACGUCAGGUCGAGGUGUAGCGCACGAAGUGGGAAGAAAUGAGCUACAUUUUCUAUCACAGAAAAUCACGAAUGGUUUACUGAAACACAUACAUGAAGGAGGAUUUAGUAGUAAAAAGCAAAUAGAGAGUCCUUUUGAACCAGGCUCUGAGACACGC
rnacentral:rRNA from 1 species